rnacentral:rRNA from 1 species
GAUGAACGCUAGCGGCAGGCUUAAUACAUGCAAGUCGAGGGGCAACAGGGGUAGCAAUACCUGCUGGCGACCGGCGCACGGGUGCGUAACACGUAUGGAAUCUGCCCAUUACUGAGGGAUAGCCCGGAGAAAUCCGGAUUAAUACCUCAUGACACUGCGAGAUGGCAUCAUUUUGCAGUUAAAGAUUUAUCGGUAAUGGAAGACCAUGCGGCUGAUAGCUAGUUGGUGAGGUAAUGGCUCACCAAGGCGACGAUCAGUAGGGGACCUGAGAGGGUGAUCCCCACAC